CCCUUAGAUGUUCUGGGCGGCCCGCGCACUACAAUGGCGUGUGCAGCGAGUGCCGAAGUAGAGUUUUCCGAGGUAUUCUUGCAAUGCUCGUUUUGAUGGGGAUAGACCCUUGCAACUGUUGGUUUUGAACGAGGAAUUCCUUGUAAGCAUGGUUUAUCAUCCGACGCUGAAUGCGUCCCUGCCCUUUGUACACACCGCCCGUCGCUCCUACCGAUUGAAUGAUCCGAUGAAUAUCAUGGAUUGAGGAUGCAAGUAGGUUCACCUAUCUUCAUCUUCGAGAAGUGAAGUAAAUCUUAUCAUUUAGAGGAAGGAGAAGUCGUAACA
rnacentral:rRNA from 1 species